UUUGAUGAGAAGUCAAGGCAGGAACUCCA
rnacentral:piRNA from 1 species